rnacentral:misc_RNA from 1 species
GGAUGCAGUACUAGAACUCAAGCAG